GGAAUCUUGGACAAUGGGCGAAAGCCUGAUCCAGCGACGCCGCGUGACCGAUGAAGGCCUUCGGGUCGUAAAGGUCUUUCAGCGGGGACAAUAAUGAUGGUACCCGCAGAAGCAGGAGCGGCUAACUACGUGCCAGCAGCCGCGGUAAUACGUAGGCUCCAAGCGUUGUUCGGAAUUACUGGGCGUAAAGCGAGUGUAGGCGGUCUGCCAAGUCGAUUGUGAAAUCUCCCGGCUCAACUGGGAGGGUGCGGUCGAAACUGACAGACUCGAGUUCGGGAGAGGAGAGUGGAAUUCCUGGUGUAGCGGUGAAAUGCGUAGAUAUCAGGAGGAACAUCGGUGGUGAAGACGGCUCUCUGGACCGAUACUGACGCUGAGACUCGAAAGCGUGGGGAGCAAACAGGAUUAGAAACCCGGGUAGUCC
rnacentral:rRNA from 1 species